ACUUAAGCAUAUCAAUAAGCGGAGGAAAAGAAACCAACCGGGAUUGCCCCAGUAGCGGCGAGUGAAGCGGCAAAAGCUCAGAUUUGGAAUCGCUUCGGCGAGUUGUAAAUUGCAGGUUGGGCAUCUCUGCGCGUGCGGGCGGUCUAAGUCCCUUGGAACAGGGCGCCAUUGAGGGUGAGAGCCCCGUGAGGCCGUCUCUUUUGCGCGCGCUACGAGGCCCUUCUGACGAGUCGAGUUGUUUGGGAAUGCAGCUCUAAGCGGGUGGUAAAUUCCAUCUAAGGCUAAAUACUGGCGAGAGACCGAUAGCGAACAAGUACUGUGAAGGAAAGAUGAAAAGCACUUUGAAAAGAGAGUGAAACAGCACGUGAAAUUGUUGAAAGGGAAGGGUAUUGCACUUCGACAUGGAGCGUGCGCACCGCUGCCCCUCGUGGGCGGCGCUCUGGGCGUGCUCUGGGCCAGCAUCGGUUUUUACGGCGGGAGAAGGGCCGGGCGCAUGUAGCUCUUCGGCUUGUAUGUCGCGCGGCCGUUGCCGCGAGCGGGACCGAGGACUGCGA
rnacentral:rRNA from 1 species